rnacentral:rRNA from 1 species
UGCAGUCGAGCGGANAGAAGGGAGCUUGCUCCCGGAUGUUAGCGGCGGACGGGUGAGUAACACGUGGGUAACCUGCCUGUAAGACUGGGAUAACUCCGGGAAACCGGAGCUAAUACCGGAUAGUUCCUUGAACCGCAUGGUUCAAGGAUGAAAGACGGUUUCGGCUGUCACUUACAGAUGGACCCGCGGCGCAUUAGCUAGUUGGUGGGGUAAUGGCUCACCAAGGCGACGAUGCGUAGCCGACCUGAGAGGGUGAUCGGCCACACUGGGACUGAGACACGGCCCAGACUCCUACGGGAGGCAGCAGUAGGGAAUCUUCCGCAAUGGACGAAAGUCUGACGGAGCAACGCCGCGUGAGUGAUGAAGGUUUUCGGAUCGUAAAGCUCUGUUGUUAGGGAAGAACAAGUGCGAGAGUAACUGCUCGCACCUUGACGGUACCUAACCAGAAAGCCACGGCUAACUACGUGCCAGCAGCCGCGGUAAUACGUAGGUGGCAAGCGUUGUCCGGAAUUAUUGGGCGUAAAGGGCUCGCAGGCGGUUUCUUAAGUCUGAUGUGAAAGCCCCCGGCUCAACCGGGGAGGGUCAUUGGAAACUGGGAAACUUGAGUGCAGAAGANGAGAGUGGAAUUCCACGUGUAGCGGUGAAAUGCGUANAGAUGUGGAGGAACACCAGUGGCGAANNNGACUCUCUGGUCUGUAACUGACGCUGAGGAGCGAAAGCGUGGGGAGCGAACNGGAUUANAUACCCUGGNANUCCACNCCGUNNCGAUNNNNGCUNAGUGNNNGGGGNUUCCGCCCCUUANNGCUGCAGCUNNCGCAUUANCNCUCCNCNGGGGANUANGGUCGCANACUNAACUCANNNNNANGGGGCCNCANANCGNG